AUUGGGGGUACAGUGGGGUCUCGGCCCAGGAGCAGUGUGUAUUGGGGGUACAGUGUGGUCUCGGCCCAGGAGCAGUGUGUUUGGGGGA
rnacentral:lncRNA from 1 species